ensembl:snRNA U6 U6 spliceosomal RNA
AUGCUCGUUUCGGCAGCACAUAUAGUAAAAUUGGAAAGAUACAGAGAAGAUUAGCAUGGCUCCUGCAAAAGGAUGACACGCAAAUUUGUGAAGCAUUCCAUAUUUAU